rnacentral:lncRNA from 1 species
UUAAAAUAUCAUUUCAGGUAACGUCAAAGGCAAAGAAGGUGCUCUGGCAUAUGUAAAAUGAAAAAAAAAAGGGUAUUCCUGAAAGAAGAAUGCACAUCAGUCAAAGGCAUCAAUAAAUAAAGCUCUUUUUCAUAUGUAAAUGGGAAUUUAUAAAGUAAAGAAGGGGCAUCUUCUCUGCAUGAAAUUAGUGAGCCAGAGUCAAGGGCAGAAAAAAAACAGAGACAGACAGACUUCCUCAACUUAUACACCCCACAGGGACCAGCUGACGUUGAAAAAGCAGAGAAGUGAGCCAUUAAAGUACGGUUUGGGAUUGACACUGACCUAGGCCUGCCAUCCAGCAUUGUCCUGCCAUCUGCACAGACGUGAACUUUGCCUCUAAAAUUUGGCUUCUCAAUUAACAUGUCCAGCUGGGGGGAGAAUUCCGUCAUUUGCCUAAUAUCAUUAUUGCCACUGCUCUGACAUAUUAAUAUUAAAAAUAUAUGUGAACAGAUCAAGGAUUUGCCUAAGCACUUCUCUUUUUA